GGCAAAAGGGUGAGUAAUACACAGGUAAUUUGCCUUCUGGUUCGGAAUAACUUUGCGAAAGCGAGGCUAAUACCGGAUAAGACUACGGUUUCACAUGAAACUGAAGUUAAAGGCGGGGACCCCAACAGGGCCUGUCACCAAGAGAGAAGCCUGUGUCCUAUCAGCUUGUUGGUAAGGUAAUGGCUUACCAAGGCGAAGACGGGUAGCUGGUCUGAGAGGAUGGUCAGCCACACUGGGACUGAGACACUGCCCAGACUCCUACGGGAGGCUGCAGUCGAGAAUCUUUUGCAAUGCGCGAAAGCGUGACAAUGCGACGCCGCGUGAGCGAUGAAGCCCUUCGGGGUGUAAAGCUCUGUCAGCCCGGAUGAAUAUCCGUUCCCUAAUAAGGGACGGAGAUGACAGUACGGGCAGAGGAAGCCACGGCUAACUCCGUGCCAGCAGCCGCGGUAAUACGGAGGUGGCAAGCGUUGUUCGGAUUUAUUGGGUGUAAAGGGUGUGUAGGUUUCCUGAUAAGUCGAAUGUGAAAUCCCUUGGCUCAACCAAGGAACUGCGUUCGAUACUGUCAGGAUUGAGCACGAAAGAGGAGAGCGGAAUUCCCGGUGUAAGGGUGAAAUCUGUAGAUAUCGGGAGGAACACCAGUGGCGAAGGCGGCUCUCUGGUUCGAGGCUGACACUGAAACACGAAAGCAAGGGGAGCAAACAGGAUUAGAUACCCUGGUAGUCCUUGCAGUAAACGAUGGGCACUAGGUGUAUCCGUC
rnacentral:rRNA from 1 species